rnacentral:rRNA from 1 species
GACGAACGCUGGCGGCGUGCUUAACACAUGCAAGUCGAACGGUGAGGCUCUGCUUUUGUGGGGUGCUCGAGUGGCGAAAGGGUGUGUAACACGUGAGGAGCCUGCCCCUGACUUUGGGAUAACUUCAGGAAACUGGGGCUAAUAUCGGAUAGGAGAUCUUGCUGCAUGGUGUGGGUUGGAAAGUUUCGGAGGUUGAGGAUGGACUCGCGGCUUAUCAGCUUGUUGGUGGGGUAGUGGCUUACCAAGGCAUUGACGAGUAGCCGGCCUGAGAGGGUGACCGGCCACAUUGGGACUGAGAUACGACCCGGACUCCAACGGGAGGCAGCAGUGGAGAAUAUUGCACGAUAGGCGGAAGCCUGAUGCAGCAACGCCGCGUGCGGGAUGACGGCCUUCGGGGUGUAACCCGCUUUCGCCUGUGACGAAGAGUGAGUGACGGUAAUUGGUAAAGAAGCACCGGCUAACUACGUG